UACGUAGGGUGCGAGCGUUGUCCGGAAUCACUGGGCGUAAAGGGCGCGUAGGUGGCCACUAUAAGGCCGCGGUGAAAGUUCGGGGCUCAACCCUGAAUCUGCCGCGGCGACUGUAGGGCUAGGGCACCGUAGAGGCAGAUGGAAUUCCGGGUGUAGCGGUGGAAUGCGUAGAUAUCAGGAGGAAUACCGAUGGCGAAGGCAGGUCUCUGGGCUGACACUGACGCUCAUGCACGAAAGCGUGGGGAGCAAACAGG
rnacentral:rRNA from 1 species